rnacentral:tRNA from 1 species
GGAGAGAUGGCCGAGCUGGCUGAAGGCGGCGGUUUGCUAAACCGUUAUAGUGCUGUAAAGGCGCUAUCGAGGGUUCGAAUCCCUCUCUCUCCGCCA